rnacentral:tRNA from 1 species
GCCUUCGUGGUGGAAUGGUAUACACACAUGCUUGAGGUGCAUGGGUCGCAAGGCCGUGCGAGUUCGAGUCUCGC